rnacentral:lncRNA from 1 species
GCGCCCGGGGCUUCGAGGGCAUCGCGCGGCGCCUGUGGCCGCAGCUGCAGGUGGUGGUGCUGGGGAUGGCGCAUGGAGGGGAGCGGCUCUACUGCGAUGCCCUGCGGCAGGAGGACUGCAAGGGGCUCCCCUUCUACUGCCCCUUCUACCGGGCGGCCGGAGGUGAGUGUCCCCGGCCGGGGACCCGCUGCGGGGACCCACCGCUGCACGGCAGCGCAAACCCUCCUCGCCCUACCCCAGGAGCGGUGCAUCUCCCUGCAACGCUCCUCGACGGAGACCCGCGGGCUUCUCCGAAAACGGCCGCGUUUGGGACCGUUUCCUCCCCUCGGAGCGGGCGAGUGGGGCGCCGGCGGGGCCGGGGUUCUCCGCUGACCGGCACCGCCUCUCCGCGCAGCGCUGCUCGGCGUGAACCUGUGGCCGGAGGAGCUGAGCGCCCGCUUUCUGCUCUGCCCCGACUGGGCCUUCUGCGAGUUCCUGCCCUGCGCGGCUGAGGAGGCGACGGCGACGGCGACGGCGCUGCUGGGGGAGCUCUGGGAGGGCCGGGAGUACGGGCUGGUCCUCACCGCCCGGCCCGGCGAGUACAGGUGCCUCCUCGCCCCGCCGCGGGUGGGCUGCAUCCCGCGCUGGCCCCGGCCCCCCGUCACGCUGCCUUCCGCCCCGYGCAGGUGCCGCGCGGGAGAGGUGCUGCGGGUGGCCGGGUUUCACAAGCAGUGUCCCGUGGUGGAGCCCGUGCGCAGGGAGAGCCAGACGCUGAGCGUGCGGGGCGAGAGCAUCCCCGAGGAGCGGUUUCUGCAGAGCCUGCGCCGCGCCGUGGCCCUGUGGCCGGGGGCUCGCCUGGUCGACUACGUGUGCGUGGAGAGCGUCCUGCUGGGCGCCUCCUCGGGGGCCUGCGCCCCCCAUUACCAGGUGUUCGUGGAGCUGCGGGGCCUGCGGGACCUGUCGGAGGGGCAGCGCUACAAGCUGGACCACUGCCUCCAGGAGGAUUUCCCCACCUACAAGUCCUUCCGCUUCAAGGGCAGCAUUGGGCCCCUGCGGCUGCACCUGGUGGCGGCGGGGGCCUUCGCCCGGCUGCGGGAGGCCGCGGGCCGCCCCCGGCCCAUGCCCAGGGUGCUGCGGGAGAGGCGGCUGCUCGCCGCCAUCCAGAGCGCCGUCGUCUCCUAGGGCGGCCCGGGCUCCCCGCGGCCUGGCUGCCACUCGGAGGACGCGCCCCGCGGCCGGCACGGCCCGUCCUUGCACGGCGAGGGCCUGGGGACCCGCCAUGCGCGGCGGUGGGGCAGCGCUCGAGCACAUCCCGCCCGGCACCCCGGCUCCGGACGGCAGGGGCUGCCCGGUGGCACAGGCGCUGCCGGGCCCUGCCGAGGCUGCAGCGCGGAUGCGGAGGGGCGCGUGGUUUCCCCCCCCGCGCGGGGACACAAGGCAGCGCCCCRAUAACCCGCCGAGCCCCGCUGCCGGGUUGGGGCCAGACCGCGGCUGCUCCCACGUGGGAGCCGCCUCUGAGCCGGGCUCCAGGGAAUUUCCGCUGGUUUAGGAAACAAUAAGGGCUGCUUUUAAUAUUAAAAAAAAAGAAGUGAAAUAAAGGAGGAUUAUCUCUCA